rnacentral:rRNA from 1 species
UGGGGAAUAUUGCACAAUGGGGGAAACCCUGAUGCAGCGACGCCGCGUGAGCGAAGAAGGUUUUCGAAUCGUAAAGCUCUGUCCUAUGGGAAGAUAAUGACGGUACCAUAGGAGGAAGCCCCGGCUAACUACGUGCCAGCAGCCGCGGUAAUACGUAGGGGGCAAGCGUUGUCCGGAAUCACUGGGCGUAAAGGGUUCGCAGGCGGAAAUGCAAGUCAGUUGUGAAAGGCAGAGGCUCAACCUCUGUAAGCAAUUGAAACUGUAUUUCUUGAGAUGUUGAGAGGCAAGUGGAAUUCCUAGUGUAGCGGUGAAAUGCGUAGAUAUUAGGAAGAAUACCGGUGGCGAAGGCGACUUGCUGGACACAAACUGACGCUGAGGAACGAAAGCGUGGGUAGCAAACAGG